rnacentral:rRNA from 1 species
UACGGAGGGGACUAGCGUUGUUCGGAAUUACUGGGCGUAAAGCGCUCGUAGGCGGAUUUGUAAGUCAGGGGUGAAAUCCCGGGGCUCAACCUCGGAACUGCCUUUGAUACUGCAAAUCUCGAGUCCGGAAGAGGUGAGUGGAAUUCCUAGUGUAGAGGUGAAAUUCGUAGAUAUUAGGAAGAACACCAGUGGCGAAGGCGGCUCACUGGUCCGGUACUGACGCUGAGGUGCGAAAGCGUGGGGAGCAAACGGG